rnacentral:rRNA from 1 species
UUGAAAGGGAAACGAUUGAAGUCAGUCAUACCAACGGGAAACCAACCUCUUGAGUUUGGUCUCGUGGGUUUUGAAGAGUUUAAAAGCCUUCGGAUUUUCGAGAUUGGGUUCUUCUGGUGUACUUUCUCGUACGGUUAGUCAACAUCGGUUUUGAAUGUCAUAAAAUGACUGGAGGAAUGUGGCUUCGAUCUCGUAUUGAAGUGUUAUAGCCUUUGGUAGAUGUGAUGUUCGAGACCGAGGAUUGCAACGGAUACUCUUCUGGGCUAUUCGUCUGAUCUCUGAAACGUUGCCUUGAUGUCGAAAGCUUGCUUAUGAUGUUAGGGUAUUACGGUCAAAAGGUUAGAACGGAUUAAAUUCGUUAAGGAUGUUGACGUA